CUGUCAGUACUGCAGGACGAGGUGGUGGAGGUACGACAUCUAUAUUAUAAUACUGUCAGUACUGCAGGACGAGGUGGUAGAGGUACGACAUCUAUAUUAUAAUACUGUCAGUACUGCAGGACGAGGUGGUAGAGGUACGACAUCUAUAUUAUAAUACUGUCAGUACUGCAGGACGAGGUGGUAGAGGUACGACAUCUAUAUUAUAAUACUGUCAGUACUGCAGGACGAGGUGGUAGAGGUACGACAUCUAUAUUAUAAUACUGUCAGUACUGCAGGACGAGGUGGUGGAGGUACGACAUCUAUAUUAUAAUACUGUCAGUACUGCAGGACGAGGUGGUGGAGGUACGACAUCUAUAUUAUAAUACUGUCAGUACUGCAGGACGAGGUGGUAGAGGUACGACAUCUAUAUUAUAAUACUGUCAGUACUGCAGGACGAGGUGGUGGAGGUACGACAUCUAUAUUAUAAUACUGUCAGUACUGCAGGACGAGGUGGUGGAGGUACGACAUCUAUAUUAUAAUACUGUCAGUACUGCAGGACGAGGUGGUAGAGGUACGACAUCUAUAUUAUAAUACUGUCAGUACUGCAGGACGAGGUGGUGGAGGUACGACAUCUAUAUUAUAAUACUGUCAGUACUGCAGGACGAGGUGGUAGAGGUACGACAUCUAUAUUAUAAUACUGUCAGUACUGCAGGACGAGGUGGUAGAGGUACGACAUCUAUAUUAUAAUACUGUCAGUACUGCAGGACGAGGUGGUAGAGGUACGACAUCUAUAUUAUAAUACUGUCAGUACUGCAGGACGAGGUGGUGGAGGUACGACAUCUAUAUUAUAAUACUGUCAGUACUGCAGGACGAGGUGGUGGAGGUACGACAUCUAUAUUAUAAUACUGUCAGUACUGCAGGACGAGGUGGUGGAGGUACGACAUCUAUAUUAUAAUACUGUCAGUACUGCAGGACGAGGUGGUAGAGGUACGACAUCUAUAUUAUAAUACUGUCAGUACUGCAGGACGAGGUGGUGGAGGUACGACAUCUAUAUUAUAAUACUGUCAGUACUGCAGGACGAGGUGGUGGAGGUACGACAUCUAUAUUAUAAUACUGUCAGUACUGCAGGACGAGGUACGACAUCUAUAUUAUAAUACUGUCAGUACUGCAGGACGAGGUGGUGGAGGUACGACAUCUAUAUUAUAAUACUGUCAGUACUGCAGGACGAGGUGGUGGAGGUACGACAUCUAUAUUAUAAUACUGUCAGUACUGCAGGACGAGGUGGUGGAGGUACGACAUCUAUAUUAUAAUACUGUCAGUACUGCAGGACGAGGUGGUAGAGGUACGACAUCUAUAUUAUAAUACUGUCAGUACUGCAGGACGAGGUGGUAGAGGUACGACAUCUAUAUUAUAAUACUGUCAGUACUGCAGGACGAGGUGGUAGAGGUACAACAUCUAUAUUAUAAUACUGUCAGUACUGCAGGACGAGGUGGUGGAGGUACGACAUCUAUAUUAUAAUACUGUCAGUACUGCAGGACGAGGUGGUAGAGGUACGACAUCUAUAUUAUAAUACUGUCAGUACUGCAGGACGAGGUGGUAGAGGUACGACAUCUAUAUUAUAAUACUGUCAGUACUGCAGGACGAGGUGGUGGAGGUACGACAUCUAUAUUAUAAUACUGUCAGUACUGCAGGACGAGGUGGUGGAGGUACGACAUCUAUAUUAUAAUACUGUCAGUACUGCAGGACGAGGUGGUGGAGGUACGACAUCUAUAUUAUAAUACUGUCAGUAGUUUGUCUCAUGCAAAAUGAAUGUUAGAUUUAAAUGAUGUAAAUGAACAAUUUGGAACUAUCGUGAACAUAAUGCUGAUAUCUUAACCUAAACCAUUAGUCAAAUUCAUCACAGAAUUGUUAUACAAAUUGAGUACAUUAAGUAAUUCGUUUAAGAAUGAUUACCUGCUGCAUUUAAAGAUAAAUAACCUACAGCACUACAGACUAAACUUCAGCUCCGUCGUCCUUGUGGUGUUGAGAUAUAAACAUAAUCAUCAUAAUUAUUAUCAUUGUGGC